rnacentral:rRNA from 1 species
UACAGAGGGGGCAAGCGUUAUUCGGAAUUAUUGGGAGUAAAGGGCGCGUAGGCGGCAUGGCAAGUGGAUGGUGAAAUCCCUCGGCUUAACCGAGGAACUGCCGUCCAAACUGCUUCGCUUGAGACCGGGAGAGGUGAGUGGAAUUCCCAGUGUAGCGGUGAAAUGCGUAGAUAUUGGGAGGAACACCAGUGGCGAAGGCGGCUCACUGGACCGGUACUGACGCUGAUGCGCGAAAGCGUGGGGAGCAAACGGG